rnacentral:rRNA from 1 species
UACGUAGGGGUGCAAGCGUUGUCCGGAAUAUUGGGCGUAAAGAGCUUGUAGGCGGUUUGUCGCGUCUGCCGUGUGAAAUUUCGGGGCUCAACCCCGAACUUGCAGUGGGUACGGGCAGACUAGAGUGUGGUAGGGGAGACUGGAAUUCCUGGUGUAGGCGGUGAAAUGCGCAGAUAUCAGGAGGAACACCGGUGGCGAAGGCGGGUCUCUGGGCCUUGCCUGACGCUGAGGCACGGAAGGCCAGGGGAGGCAAACGGG